rnacentral:lncRNA from 1 species
CCUUAUAACAGCCCCAAACUGUAUGGAUUGGACUGUGUCCCUGUCUGCUGAGAAGCCUGCCGGCUGCUGUGAGUGCAAUUGCUGGCCCUGAUGCUGACGGAGCCAGUUCUUCGGGUCAGCUGGGAACACUUGGCAGUCGGUCCUCUGAUGGGGGCAAAUUUGCAGAGGGGGCUGGGCCUGAAGAGGUCACAGUUUAUUCACAGGCCCAGGAGGGAGCUAGAUUAGGUCUGAAGGAAGUCAGCUCUCUUAUCCACAGUGCAGGUAGCUGAGUCUAUCAGUUUUCCCCUGUGUUGGCACUCAAUUUUCAUAACACAAUUUGUAAUGUGAUAAGGUCUGCACAGUAUUAAUAGUGGCAAUAGCGUGGCAAGGUUAUUCUUGCGCAGUUUUCAUAAAAAAGCAAGGGGCUACUCUGUUGAUGGAGUGUAUUAUCUAGGAUUUUAGAACCAGGACACAAUCUCUCUCUCAAGUGUGUGCAGACUCUACUAAAAAAACUUCUUCCUGCAGAGAUAAGCCUGCCUUCCAACCUCCACCCCCAGCUCUCCACUGAUGUGGAGACCAAGUUAACAUCUCCCUUGCUUCUGCAGGGGUUUCACAGCGUGUCAGCUGUGGAAAGGAAUGGACUGGAAUCUGGGAGUGUGUCACAUGGGAGAAGAGUCAUCGCCAAGGAGUCCUCCACCUGGGAGGAGAGACCGAAUUUCAGCCGAAGGUGACAAAGCGCUGAAGGGUCCAAAGGAGGAGGGAGAAGAGGACUGUGAUUGUGGAUAACAAAUGAACUGACUGAUAACAAGCAUGGAUUCACACGGUUCCAGUUGAAACAACACCUGGAAAGAAUAAAGACUGAUGAAUAUGGGUAAGAUUCUAGUAAUUUUUGAUAAUUCUCCAAAUUUACUUUUUACCUUGCCAAUAUACUUCCAUAGACUAGAUUUUUUUUUCAUGUAUA